GGAUUAGAUACCCUGGUAGUCCACGCCGUAAACGAUGGAUACUAGUUGCUCGAGCUACAUUGGUAGUUUGAGUGACUAAGCGAAAGUGAUAAGUAUCCCACCUGGGGAGUACGUUCGCAAGAAUGAAACUCAAAGGAAUUGACGGGGGCCCGCACAAGCGGUGGAACAUGUGGUUUAAUUCGAUGAUACGCGAGGAACCUUACCAGGGCUUAAAUGUAGUCUGACAGGGGUGGAAACACCUCCUUCUUCGGACAGACUACAAGGUGCUGCAUGGUUGUCGUCAGCUCGUGCCG
rnacentral:rRNA from 1 species